GGCGGUGUAGCCAAGUGGUAAGGCAGAGGUCUGCAAAACCUCCAUUCCCCGGUUCGAGUCCGGGCGCCGCCUCCA
rnacentral:tRNA from 1 species